AUUGAACGCUGGCGGCAUGCUUUACACAUGCAAGUCGAACGGUAACAGGGAGCUUGCUCCGCUGACGAGUGGCGAACGGGUGAGUAAUGCAUCGGAACGUACCCAGUCGUGGGGGAUAACGUAGCGAAAGUUACGCUAAUACCGCAUACGUCCUGAGGGAGAAAGCGGGGGACCGUAAGGCCUCGCGCGAUUGGAGCGGCCGAUGUCGGAUUAGCUAGUUGGUGGGGUAAAGGCCUACCAAGGCGACGAUCCGUAGCGGGUCUGAGAGGACGACCAGCCACACUGGAACUGAGACACGGUCCAGACUCCUACGGGAGGCAGCAGUGGGGAAUUUUGGACAAUGGGCGCAAGCCUGAUCCAGCCAUUCCGCGUGCAGGAUGAAGGCCUUCGGGUUGUAAACUGCUUUUGUACGGAACGAAACGGUCUGCCCUAAUACGGCAGGCUAAUGACGGUACCGUAAGAAUAAGCACCGGCUAACUACGUG
rnacentral:rRNA from 1 species